AAUGCAAAGAUUUACAUUUACAAAUUAAUUAAAAAUAUUUAGAGUUUUAAAAUGCAAAAACAAGAGGUGUAUCUCACGCAGCCAGUGGAGCACUAUGAUUCGACACUGAUUUUGAGUUAGUUGAUCAUGACCUGGAAGCUAAUGAGC